rnacentral:lncRNA from 1 species
AUGCCGUGAAAGCGUGUACAGACGAGGCCCUUACCAGUGGAGAAAGAACAGAGGUCUGCCUUCCACUUUACACAAACAUGAUGGCUCUACACCAGCUCCUGGAGAGGUAAAGCUCAAUGAGCAGACAACUGUGCUAAAGUCAGUCCUCACAGUGUCUGAGCCCCGUCUCCUCCUUCUUCUUCUUAGGGAUGAGGAGGCAGUGGAGCUUUGUAAAAGCUUACUGGAGUCCUGUCCCACAAACUGCCAGUUAUUGGAAACCCUCGCAGCUUUGUAUUUGAAAACAGAUUGUUAUGACAAAGCCCGAUGGGUUUGGCUUACUGCAUUUGAAAAUAAUCCUCAGAAUGCGGAAAUUUUUUAUCAUCUCUGCAAAUUUUUCAUCUUGCAGAACGGAGGUGAUAAGCUUCUUCCACUUUUGAGACAAUUUAUUGGAUCCUUCUUUAAACCUGGCUUUGAGAAGUAUAGUAAUGUGGAUUUAUUUCGGUAUCUCUUAAAUAUCCCAGGACCACUUGACAUUCCAGCGUGCUUAUGUAAAGGAAAUUUUGAUGAUGAUGUAUUUAACAACCAAGUCCCUUAUUUAUGGCUGAUUUACUGCCUUUGUCAUCCUCUUCAGUCAAGUAUUAAAGAGACAAUAGAAGCAUAUGAAGCAGCAUUAGGGGUGGCCAUGAGGUCUGAUAUCGUGCAGAAGAUUUGGAUGGAUUAUCUUGUCUUUGCCAAUAAUAGAGCUGCUGGAUCCAGAAAUAAAGUCCAAGAAUUCAAAUUUUUUACUGACUUAGUGAAUAGAUGUUUGGUUACGGUCCCUGCCCGAUACCCCAUCCCUUUUAGCAGUGCUGAUUACUGGUCCAACUAUGAAUUUCAUAAUCGG